CCCAACCCAACCUGGCCCACCCAUCCUUAGCCGUCGCUCGGCCUCCCCACCACGCAAGAUCUCGUGGGCCUCUAAUGCAAGAUCUCGUCGGCCUCCCGACCACGCAAGGUCUCGCCGGCCUCCAACAUCUGGCAGCCGCCGCGGCCGCCUCACAUGGCUCUCGGUCUCCUCCUCUGUGUUGCCUCCCCAUGCCUCCACCCCUCCGCAGCAGGCUUCGCUAACUUCGGCUGGGGCCAUCACGCGGUGAUGAUCGGUGAUUCAAGGCCAUGCGAUGUUGCUCUACGGGUGGGAGGAUCUAGCAGUUGGGAACCAACAACCCACCCUGGACUGCUGAUCUGGUGCCAAAUUUAGAUGUCCGAGCUAUUAUCUGAGUUUUCUAGGUGGAGCUAAGUGCUUUUUGCUUGGUCAGCAUGCUUGACGAACGAAUUCAAUGGGUUAACCCAGCAUCCUUCUCAGUUUGUGUAGCUUAACGUUGAUGCAUCUGUUCUUUCAAAAUAAUGAAGCAAAGGAUUUGUAUUUGUAACAUUGAAUUAAUCUUGCAGUGUUUCACAGAA